rnacentral:misc_RNA from 1 species
GAUGAAGAACGUAGCGAAAUGCGAUAAGUAGUGUGAAUUGCAGAAUUCCGUGAAUCAUCGAAUCUUUGAACGCACAUUGCGCCUUCUGGUAUUCCGGAAGGCAUGCCUGUUCGAGAGUCAUUAACAACCGUUGCGAUCCCUUUCUUUCAGAAAUUACAAAGAGGAAAAGGGUUUGGUUAUGGUGGAGGAGGGAAAGGGAGCGUUUAGCCUGUAAAAAAAGAGGCUGUGUUCCGCCUCCCCCCCAAAAUUGUACAGGCGGUCGUGUGCGCCCACGCAUCGAGGUGUUGUAAAAGCUGCCACUGCACUUUUCACCUGUGCAGUGCGAGAUUGGCCAGCCGGUUUAAAAACCCCUCCAAACAAUCAAAGGUUGACCUCGGAUCUGGUAGGGAUACCCGCUGAACUUAAGCAUAUCAAUAGCGGAGGA